UGCUUGGGUGGAGAGCAACAUGGACAUCGACGGGAGAGGCUGAUGGGGCUGGAACAUAAGGAGGCCUCAGCUGUACCGACAUUUGGGUGCUGUAUUUUACAUUGAGGGUUUAUCAUCAUUCAAUGAUGUGGCUGUUGACUUCACCUGGGAGGAGUGGAAGCUAUUAGACCCUGUUCAGAAGAACCUCUACCAGGAUGUGAUGUUGGAAAAUUACAACAACCUAGUGUCAUUGGGUUAUCAAGCUACCAAGCCAG